rnacentral:rRNA from 1 species
AUUGAACGCUGGCGGCAUGCUUUACACAUGCAAGUCGGACGAGUGGCGAACGGGUGAGUAACGCAUCGGAACGUAACGAGGAAUGGGGGAUAACUGUCAGAAAGGACAGCUAAUACCGCCUAUUAUUCGAGCGGCAGAUGUCUGAUUAGCUGGUUGGCGGGGUAAAGGCACACCAAGGCGACGAUCAGUAGCGGGUAUGAGAGGAUGAUCCUCCACACUGUGACUGAGAAACGUCCAAGACUCCUACGGGAGGCAGCAGUGGGGAAUUUUGGACAAUGGGCUCAAGCCUGAUCCAGCCAUUCCGCGUGUCUGAAGAAGGCCUUCGGGUUGUAAAGGACUGUGGGCAGGGAAGCGGUACCUGAAGAAUAAGCACCGGCUAACUACGUGCAAGCAGCCGCGGUAAUUC